AUUAUCACCCACCAGAUAACUGGAGUUCCAGACUUGUACUCAACCAGGACCAGGUUGCCUGAACAGACCACUGCCCCACAGGAGCUAGCCAAGCAGGUUAGGCAGGCCAGUGAAUUCCAGGUAGCUGGCCCAGGAGCCUCUGCAAGCAUUUGCAUACAUCGCUUAAGAGACUGAAUCUCAAACUACUUCAAAAGAACAAUGAACUUCAUAUGGACACCAUUGGAGUCUGCAAAGAUUUUGCUGCAUUAAUCUGAGCAAGGGGCUUUCCCAGAGUCCAGAUUCUCGAGCAUAGUCUUUAAAAGCUAGGAAGAACAUUUUGCAAUUGUUCCUGUGAUUAGAAGCACUGCUUGGCAGGCCAUAGAAAACAUAGUUGUCAGUAGGACUUGUCAGCUUCAGCUCUGCACUCUAAGGGAACGAUCCAUCUGUCGGCAAAUGUCGCGACCACCCUCGACCAGCAAG